rnacentral:rRNA from 1 species
CCUACGGGUGGCAGCAGUGAGGAAUAUUGGUCAAUGGACGCAAGCCUGAACCAGCCAAGUCGCGUGCAGGAUGACGGCUCUAUGGGUUGUAAACCGCUUUUGCACGAGGGUAAACCCCUCCACUUGUGGCGGUCUGCAGGUACCGUACGGAUAAGGACCGGCUAAUUCCGUGCCAGCAGCCGCGGUAAUACGGAGGGUCCGAGCGUUAUCCGGAUUUAUUGGGGUUAAAGGGUGCGUAGGCGGGCGUAGAAGUUAGCUGUGAAAUGCCGGGGCUCAACCCCGACACUGCAUUUAAUACUGUAGGACUUGAGUAUAGAUGAGGCAGGCGGAAUGUGUGGUGUAGCGGUGAAAUGCUUAGAGAUCA